AUUGAACGCUGGCGGCAGGCCUAACACAUGCAAGUCGAACGAGUGGCGGACGGGUGAGUAAUGUCUGGGAAACUGCCUGAUGGAGGGGGAUAACUACUGGAAACGGUAGCUAAUACCGCAUAACAUCGGCUUUGCCCAGAUGGGAUUAGCUUGGAGGUGGGGUAAAGGCUAACCUAGGCGACGAUCCCUAGCUGGUCUGAGAGGAUGACCAGCCAAACUGAAACGGAGACACGGUACAGACUCCUACGGGAGGCAGCAGUGGGGAAGAUUGCACAAGGGGCGCAAGCAUGAUGCAGCCAUGGCGCGUGUAUGAAGAAGGCCUUCGGGUUGUAAAGGACUUUCAGCGGGGAGGCGUUACCCGCAGAAGAAGCACCGGCUAACUCCGUGCCAGCAGCCGCGGUAAUUC
rnacentral:rRNA from 1 species